rnacentral:rRNA from 1 species
UACGUAGGUGGCAAGCGUUGUCCGGAUUUAUUGGGUUUAAAGGGUGCGUAGGCGGCUUAUUAAGUCAGUGGUGAAAUACUCUAGCUCAACUAGAGGGGUGCCAUUGAUACUGAUGAGCUUGAGUACAGAUGAGGUAGGCGGAAUUGACGGUGUAGCGGUGAAAUGCUUAGAUAUCGUCAAGAACACCUAUAGCGAAGGCAGCUUACUAGGCUGUAACUGACGCUGAGACGCGAAAGCAUGGGGAGCGAACAGG